AUGUUGGGAAGUUUGUUCAGCGGUGCCACAUUGCAAGGGCUAGGUCCAGAACACAGGGUUAUACAUGUCUUUGUCUGUUCCUGUUGCUCCAUGGGAGGAUAUCUCUAUGGACUUCGUCUUGGGUUAGCCAAGAACAGACGAGGGAAUGAUGCUGUGUUUGUGGUCGUGGACAGAUUCUCUAAAAUGGCUCAUUUCAUGCCAUGCCGCAAGACAACAGAUGCUAUCAUGUGGCAAACCUAUUCUUUCGAGAAGUGGUCAGACUUCAUGGAGUUCCAAGGUCCAUCGUCUCAAACCGCGAUAGCAAGUUUCUUGCUGCAUUUUGGCUCACUUUGUGGAAGCAAGUCAACACUGCAUUCAAAUUUUCUAGCACUGCCUAUCCACAAACAGAUGGACAAAUGGAAGUGGUGA
rnacentral:rRNA from 1 species